rnacentral:rRNA from 1 species
GAUGAACGCUGGCGGCGUGCCUAAUACAUGCAAGUCGAGCGAAUGGAUUAAGAGCUUGCUCUUAUGAAGGUAGCGGCGGACGGGUGAGUAACACGUGGGUAACCUGCCCAUAAGACUGGGAUAACUCCGGGAAACCGGGGCUAAUACCGGAUAACAUUUUGAACCGCAGGGUUCGAAAUUGAAAGGCGGCUUCUGCUGUCACUUAUGGAUGGACCCGAGUCGCAUUAGCUAGUUGGUGGGGUAACGGCUCACCAAGGCCACGGUGCGUAGCCGACCUGAGAGGGUGAUCGGCCACACUGGGACUGAGACACGGGCCAGACUCCUACGGGAGGCAGCAGUAGGGAAUCUUCCGCAAUGGACGAAAGUCUGACGGAGCAACGCCGCGUGAGUGAUGAAGGCUUUCGGGUCGUAAAACUCUGUUGUUAGGGAAGAACAAGUGCUAGUUGAAUAAGCUGGCACCUUGACGGUACCUAACCAGAAAGCCACGGCUAACUACGUGCCAGCCGCCGCCGUAA